rnacentral:rRNA from 1 species
UGAGACAGGUGCUGCAUGGCUGUCGUCAGCUCGUGUUGUGAAAUGUUGGGUUAAGUCCCGCAACGAGCGCAACCCUUAUCCUUUGUUGCCAGCGAUUCGGUCGGGAACUCAAAGGAGACUGCCAGUGAUAAACUGGAGGAAGGUGGGGAUGACGUCAAGUCAUCAUGGCCCUUACGAGUAGGGCUACACACGUGCUACAAUGGCAUAUACAAAGAGAAGCGACCUCGCGAGAGCAAGCGGACCUCAUAAAGUAUGUCGUAGUCCGGAUUGGAGUCUGCAACUCGACUCCAUGAAGUCGGAAUCGCUAGUAAUCGUGGAUCAGAAUGCCACGGUGAAUACGUUCCCGGGCCUUGUACACACCGCCCGUCACACCAUGGGAGUGGGUUGCAAAAGAAGUAGGUAGCUUAACCUUCGGGAGGGCGCUUACCACUUUGUGAUUCAUGACUGGGGUGAAGUCGUAACAAGGUAACCGUAGGGGAACCUGCGGUUGGAUCACCUCCUUA